AAAACAAUAGAGUGGGAAAAUAAUUACAGUAAUCCUUAUAUUACUGUUAAAUUGAUGACAGUAAUAAUCCAACUUACAAGGAAUUUUAUUUAUUAAUUAUAUAUUUAUUUAUAAGGAAUUUUAUAAUACAUCGUUUCAUAUGGUAACCCAUAUAUUAAGGCAUUUGGCAUAUAGUUAAAAAAAGCUGAAUGAUUUAUGUGGGUGUUUUUUAAUUGCGUAUCUUCAUGGUUGCCAGAUUUUGACACAAAACCCACCUAAUCUCAUAGGUUAUAGCCAACAAUUUUGUGGGUGGGAGGUAGUUGUAGAGAUGUAGAUGUCAAAAAUAUAGGCUAGGUAAAUAGAUAAAAUCAAUUCCCAUGAUAUAUUUUUAAUAUUAUUAUUUUGCUUUCUAUUAAACACACUAAUUACAUAAAGAGCGGAAUCGUACGCGAUAUACCUGGCAACCAAUCAUCUAAACCGUCAGCCUGCACUCAUUUUCCAAUUCAUUUUCUGAGCCUUUGAGGAUGAACAAGACCAACGAGAACCAGUCAGGUAAAAAUCAUUGGUCACCAGAUGUGGAUGGCAUGUAUGUUGUUCGACAUUGCAGCGUGCUGAUGAGUUAAUAAAGAGGUAAGUCAUUUUCAAGUCUGUUUAUCACAUUGAUGUCGGUCAAGCUGUAGUGCAACUUAAUUUUUGUGUUUUGUUCUCUAUAGGCAGCAAAAACCUGGGAUCUGCAUUGGCCCUGUCAAGUCUGGAGAGUGUUUUUACCAUUUAAUGAAUUCAAUUGUAAUAAAAGUUUUUAAAUGGA